GACGAACGCUGGCGGCGUGCUUAACACAUGCAAGUCGUACGGUAAGGCCCUUUCGGGGGUACACGAGUGGCGAACGGGUGAGUAACACGUGAGUAACCUGCCCACAACUUUGGGAUAACGCUAGGAAACUGGUGCUAAUACUGGAUAUGUGCUCCUGCUGCAUGGUGGGGGUUGGAAAGCUCCGGCGGUUGUGGAUGGACUCGCGGCCUAUCAGCUUGUUGGUGGGGUAGUGGCCUACCAAGGCGGCGACGGGUAGCCGGCCCGGGAGGGUGACCGGCCACAUUGGGACUGAGAUACGGCCCAGACUCCUACGGGAGGCAGCAGUGGGGAAUAUUGCACAAUGGGCGCAAGCCUGAUGCAGCAACGCCGCGUGCGGGAUGACGGCCUUCGGGUUGUAAACCGCUUUCAGCAGGGACGAAGCUUUUUGUGACGGUACCUGCAGAAGAAGCACCGGCUAACUACGUG
rnacentral:rRNA from 1 species